UAAACAGUACGAUCAAAUGGCUUUAAGUAUUUAAAAAUUUCUUUUUUCAUACUAUGACAACCUGGGACUCGUGCAAUUAAAAACGUCAGGGGCAAGUGCAAUUUAAAUGUAAUAGUGUUACGACUUGUGGCAAGUGCAAUGUUCAUCAAUCGAUGCAAUAAACCAAAUAUUUAUUAUAUAAAUUCAUUAGAUUUUCCAGUGCAUAUACAUAUCUAUGUUAGUUUGAAGAUUAGUGCAGUAUUUUCUCCCUUUACCCUAUCUUACUGUACCAUGCGUUCUGUCAUACGUAACCAAAUCAAUGAAAACCAGAGUUGGUUGAUGGCCUCCCUUGUCUGUACGUAUGUGCGUAUGUACGUAUGUACGUAAGUGUGUUUUUGUUUUGUUUUCGUUAUUCUUAUUCCGGACAACCAAGGCUUGGUUUAUUCUUCUUUUCUUUGUCUAUGCUUAAUAGAUGGACAAAUUUUCAAAUAUAUAAAUAUAAAAUGUGCAACAAGAAAUUUAUCAAAAAAAAAGCCGGGAGCAGUGCAAUAACAAGGCCACAAGGCUACUGUGCCUUAGUUAAUAUAAUUGCAAUAUAAUUGGAAUUCGGUAAUUAUGAUUGUCUAUUGCUACAAAGGCGCUGCUAUAAUAAUAAGCACAGUGGUGAUUCUACUAUUUAAGUGGGAAGUUGGCACUAAUCUUCAAAUUGUUGUUGGGAUAUGUGCAAUUAUUCUUCUUUCUGGACUGCAGGUCCAACCAACGCAAUAACCGGUGUGUUCGUGUUAAAAAAUUUGUGCAAUAUGUUUAGAACGUAGUACAAUUUUUUCAAUUUAGUGCAAUAAUGCGAUAUUUUAAUAUCGUACGAUAUUAUCAAUCCGUGCAAUAAGCUCGAUAUUUAAUUAAUUAGAAUUAUGGGCAGUAAUUUUUAGCUGAAAUAAGUGCAAUACAUCUGUGUCUGUGUGUGCAAUAUUCUUUACGGUCUUUAAGGCUUUUAAUGUGCAAUAAAUAAUUUCUCUGUA